UUAAGGUAGAUGGGGUGUCUCAAUUAUAAUCCAUAGAAUUUUUUAAUAAUUUGCCAAAAUGUAGUUUGGAUGAUGCUCUUUAAAAAAUUAUAAUUAUAAGAAUGGGUCACGGGACUUAUUUUCACGCUACACGGUGUUCAAAAUUGACAGAUUUUUUGUAUAGAUUAUGCAUGGAGAACCCAAUUUUCUGCAAUAAAGUGUAAACUACACCAUAGAAUUUAGAGAUAACAUAUGAGAAGAUAAUUUUAAUAGUAUUCUUUCAGUUAAGAAAAAGAACAAAAAUGAGGUCACCGGAACCGUUUUCUUGCUACAUUAUAAAAUAGGUAAAUUCCUAACACAUUCUUUUGUAAAAAUAACUUUACCUGA
rnacentral:lncRNA from 1 species